UCGAGCGAAUGGAUUAAGAGCUUGCUCUUAUGAAGUUAGCGGCGGACGGGUGAGUAACACGUGGGUAACCUGCCCAUAAGACUGGGAUAACUCCGGGAAACCGGGGCUAAUACCGGAUAAUAUUUUGAACUGCAUGGUUCGAAAUUGAAAGGCGGCUUCGGCUGUCACUUAUGGAUGGACCCGCGUCGCAUUAGCUAGUUGGUGAGGUAACGGCUCACCAAGGCAACGAUGCGUAGCCGACCUGAGAGGGUGAUCGGCCACACUGGGACUGAGACACGGCCCAGACUCCUACGGGAGGCAGCAGUAGGGAAUCUUCCGCAAUGGACGAAAGUCUGACGGAGCAACGCCGCGUGAGUGAUGAAGGCUUUCGGGUCGUAAAACUCUGUUGUUAGGGAAGAACAAGUGCUAGUUGAAUAAGCUGGCACCUUGACGGUACCUAACCAGAAAGCCACGGCUAACUACGUGCCAGCAGCCGCGGUAAUACGUAGGUGGCAAGCGUUAUCCGGAAUUAUUGGGCGUAAAGCGCGCGCAGGUGGUUUCUUAAGUCUGAUGUGAAAGCCCACGGCUCAACCGUGGAGGGUCAUUGGAAA
rnacentral:rRNA from 1 species